GAUGAAGAACGUAGUGAAAUGCGAUACUUGGUGUGAAUUGCAGAAUCCCGUGAACCAUCGAGUCUUUGAACGCAAGUUGCGCCCGAAGCCAUUAGGCCGAGGGCACGCCUGCCUGGGCGUCACACGUCGUUGCCCCCCCAUCUACUCCUUCGGGAUUGCGGGGGGCGGAUGAUGGCCUCCCGUGCGCCUCGUCGCGCGGUUGGCAUAAAUGCCAAGUCCUCGGCGACGCACGCCACGACAAUCGGUGGUUGCGAAACCUCGGUUGCCCGUCGUGUGCGGUCGUCGCGCAUCGAGGGCUCGAAAAAAUUGUCGGGCUCCGGCUCGGCUUUCAACGCGACCCCAGGUCAGGCGGGGUUACCCGCUGAAUUUAAGCAUAUCAAAAGCGGAGGA
rnacentral:misc_RNA from 1 species